GCCGGGCGCGGUGGCACGUGUCUGUAGUCCCAGCUACUCGGGAGGCUGAGGUGGGAGGAUCGCUUGAGCCCAGGAGUUCUGGGCUGUAGUGCGCUAUGCCGAUCGGGUGUCCGCACUAAGUUCGGCAUCAAUAUGGUGACCUCCCGGGAGCAGGGGACCACCAGGUUGCCUAAGGAGGGGUGAACCGGCCCAGGUUGGAAACGGAGCGAGUCAAAACUCCCGGGCUGAUCAGUAGUGGGAUCCCGCCUGUGAAUAGCCACUGCACCCCAGCCUGGGCAACAGAGUGAGACCCUGUCUCU
rnacentral:SRP_RNA from 1 species